rnacentral:rRNA from 1 species
UACGAAGGGGGCUAGCGUUGCUCGGAAUGACUGGGCGUAAAGGGCGCGUAGGCGGCUCAUACAGUCAGGCGUGAAAUUCCUGGGCUCAACCUGGGGACUGCGCUUGAGACGUGUGGGCUUGAGUGGGGAAGAGGGUCGUGGAAUUCCCAGUGUAGAGGUGAAAUUCGUAGAUAUUGGGAAGAACACCGGUGGCGAAGGCGGCUCACUGGACCGGCAUUGACGCUGAGGUGCGAAAGCGUGGGGAGCAAACAGG